rnacentral:lncRNA from 1 species
AACCUGAGAUUGAAGAAGGUUAGGUUAGCAUUAGAGUUCCAUUUUACUCACCUUCUAUCUAUUAUCUAAAUAUUAUUAAUGAGACUCGUUCAUAGCUUUACAUCUUCAGCUCUUCUAAUUAACUAAUGGUUGCAUAAAACUAAAUCCACUUCUCACCUGUUAUAAAUUAAUAACUUGUAAUGUCUCUCAUCUGUUACAAAAUCACUUUUAAUGUUUCUUCACACGUUAAAAAUU